UACGUAGGGUGCAAGCGUUAAUCGGAAUCACUGGGCGUAAAGCGCGUGUAGGCGGCCCAUUAAGUCUGAUGUGAAAGCCCGGGGCUCACCCCCGGAAGUGCAUUGGAAACUGAUGGACUCGAGUCCCGGAGAGGAGAGUGGAAUUCCUGGUGUAGCGGUGAAAUGCGUAGAUAUCAGGAGGAACACCGGUGGCGAAGGCGGCUCUCUGGACGGUGACUGACGCUGAGACGCGAAAGCGUGGGGAGCAAACAGG
rnacentral:rRNA from 1 species